GCCAAUGUGGUGUAGUGGUUUGAAUGUUGGACUAUGGCUCAGGAGACCAGGGUUCGAUUCCCUGCUUAGGCA
rnacentral:tRNA from 1 species